rnacentral:lncRNA from 1 species
AUGCAGACUUUUAAAAACUUUUGGCACAAAAGUGAACUUUUCUUUUCAUCCUGUUUUCCACAAACAGUUGAAAUCUCCCAUGCGUGGCAGCUGGCCUGUCUCACCACAGUGCUGCCUGUUCACGCUCAGUCUGCUGCAGGGGCGUCUUGCUCCCUGCCCCAGCCACUGUUGAGAGAGCUCCGCUUGACCAGGCCCAUUCAAGCAACCGCAGAAGCCUCUCCUUACAUCCCAGAAGAGACUGCUCUUUCUGCCACCACCCUUUCAGCUGUUUGCAUGCACUUAUUUCAUCACUUGGGCUGCAUCUUGUGUUUUGGGUUUGCCGUGUGUGCUGUGUUCCUGCAGAGGACCGUCUGGGGCCUUGCGCUGGCGUCGUCUGAAGAUGCUUCCCUGGGAAGGACAUGGACGCCUCGCGUUUUACCUCUGCAGCCAACCGAGGGAAGGCACUGCACCCGCCAGACAGGUGAUGUCUCCACGGCUCAUCCGUUUGCUUUCAGGGGCAAAUACACCCUUGGAAAAGAGACGAUUCCAGACACCUUUACAAAGAGCAGGAACGCCUUACAAGAAAAUGAAUCCUGUUCCACUCCACCAGCACUGUUGUCUCUCCAGCAAAGUGGAUCCCUGUUUUUAAGCAUUCUCAGUUGGUUCAGACACUUCACCGUAAGGAAGGCGCUCACAUCAAGAUGCAGCAUCGUACUCGGCCAGUUCCAGCUCUGCGUAUCCGUGUGCCUGGUCCAGCUGUCUUGUUCCUGAAGAACUCCCCCAGGUUGCAUCCUGUUCGCCACACAUCGUCUCAGCACACAUUCCAGGUAGCACCGCAGAAACACGGGAAGAAUACACCAAAAUAAUGGCUUGGGGCUUCCCCCUUGGCUCACUGCUCCCUCUGUUGGUGGCAGACAGAGUGCCAGUAGCCCUGGGCGUGCUGCAAUAGUGCAAGUGAGGAGAUUUCCCCUGGUGGUGAGCUGCGGUAGGAUGCCCACGGCUGGCAUCAUCUAGGGUGUUUGUGAGGUCUGAGGCGAGCCCCCAUUUCUUGCAAAUGUAUGGGAUUAGAUAUCUGUUUGGGUUGUCAUUUACACUUUGGAUGCAAUAAACAUGUUGAAGCUAAAUACUUAUCCA